AUGGGGGACUCAGGAACCACGUUUUUGGAAGGAUUUCAAGGAAAAUUCAAGAACUUGCAACUCUCCGAAACAGAGAAAAAGGGAAUCAGGAUUGGAAAGAAGCAGGCAUGCUCCUCGCGGGUAAACAAGCUACAGGCUGUAGGUAAACUUCUCUCAGAGAGGCCGAUUAGAGCAGAGCAUGUGGGAAGAUCCUUGGGGGGAGCUUGGAGUCCAAUUUUUUGUGUGGAAUGCAUACAAUUGGGGAGGAAUUUUCUCUUUACUUUCCAUACAUGUGGGAAGGAUAAGGCACUAGAUGCUGGACCCUGGAGAUUCAACAAUAACCUUUUAGUAAUGGAGGAUUUUGUGCCGAGUAGAACUAUAGAUGAGUACGAAUUUAAGACAAUACCUAUUUGGAUUAGAGCUUAUGGGAUUCCAAUGGGGAUGAUGAGCAAACACUACUAG
rnacentral:rRNA from 1 species